rnacentral:rRNA from 1 species
GUCUAUGGCCAUGCCACCCUGAACAAGUCCGAUCCCGUAUGAUCUCAGAAGUUAAGCAGGGUGGAGCCUGGUUAGUACCUGGAUGGGAGACCACCUAGGAAGACCAGGUGCUGUAGGCU